AUACGGAGGAUGCGAGCGUUAUCCGGAUUUGUUGGGUUUAAAGGGAGCGUAGGCGGGAGCUUAAGUCAGCGGUUAAAUGGUGCGGCUCAACCGUGCCCUGCCGUUGAAACUGGGUUUCUUGAGAGUGCAAGAGGCGGAUGGAAUUCAUGGUGUAGCGGUGAAAUGCUUAGAUAUCAUGAAGAACUCCGAUUGCGAAGGCAGUCCGCUGGGGCACGUCUGACGCUGAUGCUCGAAGGUGCGGGAAUCAAACAGGAUUAGAUACCCUGGUAGUCCGCACGGUAAACGAUGAUUACCCGCUGUCGGCGGUAGACAGUCGGCGGCCAAGCGAAAGCGAUAAGUAAUCCACCUGGGGAGUACGCCGGCAACGGUGAAACUCAAAUGAAUUGACGGGG
rnacentral:rRNA from 1 species